CGCACACCAGGAAAUGAGGGAAUGUGACCUUGGCUGAGUCCCUCCCUCUGGCGACCAUAUGUCAUCACUCCAUCUACAACAGCGGAGAGAGAGAGAGAGAAAGAGAGAGAGAGAGAGAAAGUACCACUCUGUUCCAUCCAUCACUCCGCACCUCUUCAUCAUCUGCCUCUUCUUCUCCCCCGUUCCCAAACAAUAACUGCAGCCCACACACACCAUUACAGCGCCCUGUUUAUGGUAACACACACACACACACACACACACACACACACUUGUUUUUAUACCUUGACAAAAUGUGGGACUGUAGAAAAGUCCCAUAUGUAUUUUUUUAUAAAACCUCAACUCCA
rnacentral:lncRNA from 1 species